GACGAACGCUGGCGGCGUGCCUAAUACAUGCAAGUAGAACGCACAGUUUAUACCUUAGCUUGCUACACCAUAGACUGUGAGUUGCGAACGGGUGAGUAACGCGUAGGUAACCUGCCUGGUAGCGGGGGAUAACUAUUGGAAACGAUAGCUAAUACCGCAUAAUAUUAAUUAUUGCAUGAUAAUUAAUUUAAUGGUGCAAUUGCACCACUACCAGAUGGACCUGCGUUGUAUUAGCUAGUAGGUGAGGUAACGGCUCACCUAUGCGACGAUACAUAGCCGACCUGGGAGGGGGAUCGGCCACACUGGGACUGAGACACGGCCCAGACUCCUACGGGAGGGAGCAGUAGGGAAUCUUCGGCAAUGGACGAAAGGCUGACCGAGCAACGCCGCGUGAGGGAAGAAGGGUUUCGGAUCGGAAAGAUCCGUUGUAAGAGAAGAAAGGGUGUGAGAGUGGAAAGUUCACACUGUGACGGUAUCUAACCAGAAAGGGACGGCUAACUACGUG
rnacentral:rRNA from 1 species